CAACUGCGAUACGUAGUGUGAAUUGCAGAACUCAGCGAACCAUCGAGACCUUGAACGCACCUUGCGCCCGCGGCCACCCGCGGGCAUGCCUGUCUGAGCGUCGUCAUAUUUAUCUCCCUGCCGGGGACCCUGCAGGUUACCCAGGGGAGGAGAGUGAGUGUCAGGAAAUCCUCCCUGUCGCUCGAAACCCAGAGGAAGCCACGUGUGCAGUGGUCCCACCAGGAGGCCUCUAUUUACCGCCAGCCGCAAAAGAGGAACGUCACCAGCUCGCUCAGCGAGAAGAACGUCCCCAAGCGGACUGGUGGGAGCUUCUUGGAAGUGGACCUUUUGCCGCUUCUCAGGGCUACUUGGCCCAAACCAAACCCAGCGACCUCAGAUCAGGCAAGGAUACCCGCCGAAUUUAA
rnacentral:misc_RNA from 1 species